rnacentral:rRNA from 1 species
UACGUAGGGUGCAAGCGUUAAUCGGAAUCAUUGGGCGUAAAGCGCACGUAGGCGGUCGUGUAAGUCGGAUGUGAAAGCCCUGGGCUUAACCCAGGAAGUGCAUCUGAUACUGCACGACUUGAGUCCCGGAGAGGGUGGUGGAAUUCCUGGUGUAGAGGUGAAAUUCGUAGAUAUCAGGAGGAACACCGGUGGCGAAGGCGACCACCUGGACGGAGACUGACGCUGAGGUGGCGAAAGCGUGGGAGCAAACGGG